AACUCCGUAUCCAUUUAUCUUCGCAAAGAAGUAAUCCGUUCUCUUCGGACGGGAGGAAUAAACCCGGACACUGACCGAAUACAAAACGUCCCACGCGAAGUCUUCGAACCUCGUCCAAUCCGAAAUCCUCGUUACCAGGAGAAAUCAGAAAGUAAACAUUCGGAAAUUCCACAGCUAAAUGAACUGCACAGGUUCAUUUUGUUGGUGGUGGAUUAUCCGGAGCCAACAGAUUGCGUUUUCAGAGCCUUAGCUCUCCAGUUCAUUAAGAGACGAGCACUAAAGCUUCAACAUCCACUUGGCAUGAAUGGAAAUGUUUAAUUGUGAGGCAUUAAGACUUUAUUUAGUUGCCCUACAGUUCGAGUUCGAGUUCUGCACAUACAUUGACAUGCUUCUUGCUGAAUAUGUAUUAAAUUAAGGGACAUGGUUGAAAAGUUUAAUUGGAUGAUCAGGGCAAAUUGUACUUAUUUUGUCUUAUGGGAAACAUGUAAAAAUUACUUAUGUAGCUUCUGAAGGGCAGUAUUAAAUGAAAAAAAUAUGAUAUUCAAAUUUACACACCCUUGUGUUUCCUUCUCUGUGAACAUUUGUGAAUGUUUUCAUCUUUUGCAGUAGUUGUGUGCGAGUCCCUCAGUUGUACUCAUGGUCAAAGAUGGAUCUCAAAAUCCAAUCUCAAAAUGCAUAUUUAAAACAUUUUUGGAAAUGAUUCAAAUAUGGCGAUGCUAGAAAACCAAAGAAUGUGCCGGAAUUUUUCUGAUGUGGGGAGUUUAACUGCUCAGGACAAACAAGGGACUAUUACAAAACUUUUAAAAUCAAUGAUCAUCCUGGUAAAAACAUUAUAUUGUGAUUCAAGGGUAUGUAGACAUUUAAACUGGUUCGUUUGUGCAAUUUCAGUUAUUAUUUUGUCUAUUUGGACUAUAUGUAAACAUCUGUUACAUACAAUGUAUUCAGGACAGACAGGCUUAUUCAGGACAGUACUAAAUUUGUAAAAUAAAUAAAUAAAUAAAUAAAAAUGCAGAUUUGAUCCCUAUAAGCUUCUUAAAAUUAUUAACAAUCUGCCUGUUCUGUAACUGGCAUGAACAUGUAUAAGUAAAACGUAAUGUCAAAAUGAGAUGUAUUAAUGGAAUAGUCCAAAAUAUAAAAUUCUGUUUUCAUUUUCUUUCAUUAUUUUUCAACCUAAAUGACUUGCAUACAAAUUACAGUUUAUUU